GAAGCCUGCCAGACCGUCGCUGGUGCAUGUCCCGAAAGGGCGCACUGGAGGAAGGUCCGGACUGCACAGGGCGGCGUAGCAGCUAACGGCUGUCCACCGUGAGGUGAGGAUCAGAGCAACAGAGACGAGCCAAUUCAGUUUGGGUGAAACGGGCAAUCUCUACGCGCAGCAAUACCAAGUAGGCACACGUUGAUCUGGCUCCGGAGAGUGUGUGGGUAGGUAGCAUUGAGCCGGCGGGGCGACCCCCGGCCCAGAUUAAUGACGGUCACAGGGUCUUUCCGAAAGGGCGGGCCAUGCACAGAAUCCGGCCUAUCGGCAGACUUCACAU
rnacentral:RNase_P_RNA from 1 species